rnacentral:rRNA from 1 species
GAUGAACGCUGGCGGCGUGCCUAAUACAUGCAAGUCGAGCGAACGGACGAGAAGCUUGCUUUUCUGAUGUUAGCGGCGGACGGGUGAGUAACACGUGGAUAACCUACCUAUAAGACUGGGAUAACUUCGGGAAACCGGAGCUAAUACCGGAUAAUAUUUUGAACCGCAUGGUUCAAAAGUGAAAGACGGUCUUGCUGUCACUUAUAGAUGGAUCCGCGCUGCAUUAGCUAGUUGGUAAGGUAACGGCUUACCAAGGCAACGAUGCAUAGCCGACCUGAGAGGGUGAUCGGCCACACUGGAACUGAGACACGGUCCAGACUCCUACGGGAGGCAGCAGUAGGGAAUCUUCCGCAAUGGGCGGAAGCCUGACGGAGCAACGCCGCGUGAGUGAUGAAGGUCUUCGGAUCGUAAAACUCUGUUAUUAGGGAAGAACAUAUGUGUAAGUAACUGUGCGCAUCUUGACGGUACCUAAUCAGAAAGCCACGGCUAACUACGUG